rnacentral:rRNA from 1 species
AACGAACGCUGGCGGCAGGCUUAACACAUGCAAGUCGAACGCGCCCUUCGGGGCGAGUGGCAGACGGGUGAGUAACGCGUGGGAACCUACCUUUUGGUACGGAAUAACUCAGGGAAACUUGAGCUAAUACCGUAUGUGCCCUUAUCCUUGAUCGGGUUUGGGGAAAGAUUCAUCGCCAAAGGAUGGGCCCGCGUCGGAUUAGCUAGUUGGUGGGGUCACGGCCUACCAAGGCGAGUAUCCGUAGCUGGUCUGAGAGGAUGAUCAGCCACACUGGGACUGAGACACGGCCCAGACGCCUACGGGAGGCAGCAGUGGGGAAUAUUGGACAAUGGGGUCAACCCUGAUCCAGCCAUGCCGGGUGAGUGAUGAAGGCCUUAGGGUUGUAAAGCUCUUUCGCCGGUGAAGAUAAUGACGGUAACCGGAGAAGAAGCCCCGGCUAACUUCGUGCCAGCCGCCGCAGUAACAC